CCUACGGGAGGCAGCAGUAGGGAAUAUUGCUCAAUGGGGGAAACCCUGAAGCAGCAACGCCGCGUGGAGGAUGAAGGUUUUAGGAUUGUAAACUCCUUUUUUGAGAGAAGUUAAUGACGGUAUCUCACGAAUAAGCACCGGCGAACUCCGUGCCAGCAGCCGCGGUAAUACGGAGGGUGCAAGCGUUACUCGGAAUCACUGGGCGUAAAGCGUGCGCAGGUGGGCUUGUAAGUCAGAUGUGAAAGCCUGUAGCUUAACUACAGAACUGCAUUUGAAACUAUGAGUCUAGAGUGUGGGAGAGGUAGGUGGAAUUCUUGGUGUAGGGGUAAAAUCCGUAGAUAUCAAGAGGAAUACUCAUUGCGAAGGCGACUUACUGGAACAUUACUGACGCUGAUGCACGAAAGCGUGGGGAGCAAACAGGAUUAGAUACCCGAGUAGUC
rnacentral:rRNA from 1 species